UAAAUGCUAUGCGAGAAAUAUAAUAUGUUUAGAAAAGGAACAACAGAUGCAUCAAAGAAGGCCCGCUGUCAUAUGCAAUGUCGGAUUCAAACAUUGUGUACAUAUAUAUGAUGUAACAUAUUUCACAAGGAUAGCUUUGUUGUACACAACUCUUGAAAAGAAGGCCUGCUGUGCUCUAUUAGCAGUCACUUUAUUACAAUAGAUACACUUCGUUUCAGAUGCCAACAUAUCCUGACUUGAGCAAUAGGUUGAGCACCAUGCAGCUCCCAUCGUCAUCUAACAGAGAUAUCUUGGUUGGCUGAAAGAGACAAAGUGGAUACAACUACAACAUUAGUCUGCACAGCGAACUUUUUGUUUUCGCUAGAGAUGAGCUUGCAACUGAACAUGCCGACAAUACCUGAAAAAAUAGGAACAUCAUGUAUUUUUAGAAGCAUAUCCAAUAUGAAAGGUCAACAAAAUUAUCUGGUUGGAUAAGAAAGUUGAACAAAAAUAAUGAUAGCCAGAGUACAAGCUAAAUCAACAGCCAAAUAAAUAUCGCCAAGCAAGAGCGCUUGAUGAUCGACCAUGAGAGAAGAUGUGAAAUCGCAGCAUGGUUCCUUCUAGAUGUGUUCUGGGACAUCAUUAGCACUGACACAGGAGCCUCUAACUAGCUUUGAUAACCUAUUCAGAAUCAUCCAAUGAAAGCAAGUGCAUACCUAGAAUUAAAAUUUACAGGUAUUAGAGUUACAUGUAUCAAGAAUUGUUGAGAUGACUCCAGGAAUGUACGCCAGAUCAUUAUUGUUGAUUUUAAAGCAUUGUUUUUUCAGGGGAUUUUGAAAGCAUUGUUAGAAAGUGGAUCGCAACAAGUAAAAAAUCAUGAAUAAGAAGAACUACUAAUGAUUUCAGAAAGUUCAACUGGACAUCAAAGUGCAGUUUCGAUUUAAGAUCAACAAAAUGAAUCAAAAGAACACACAACAAAAUAUAAUCUACUCCAGGCUCGUAACCAUUUUUCACAUACAAGUCAUAGCAUUCAUGCACAAAUCUUACUUUAUAGCCUGCAGAAGAUAUAGAUACUGUUUACGAAUUAAGUAUAGGAACAACGAGCACACCUUUUGCCUGAUUCUAGUCCAUUGCUGCAAUUGGGGAAAACUGACAGAUGGGAAGAAACGUAAUACUUUGGAUAAUCGAAUAGGAGAUCAUACCUUGAUACCUUAAGCUGCAGAAGAUGGCUGUCUUCUUUGCGAUGGCUGGGUCGACAUUGCCUGGACCUACAGCAUGGCGGCGAUACAUGUAUGCGCUCGCCGGCGGUUCGGCCGUUUCAGGGGAGAGGAGCGGCGCUGGCGCUUGUACGACGCUGAAACUAGGUACAUGACCAGGGGGGAGAGGUCGAGUGGCCCAGCAGAGAAGGGGACGGAGGGGAGAGAGGCGACAGAGCAAAUUGCUAACCCUAGCUUGCAAAUCGCCGGUGUACAGGUACGAGCAGAGCAAAGGGAAGAAGACAAUGGGAUCUUGGAAGG
rnacentral:lncRNA from 1 species